UACGGAGGGUGCAAGCGUUAUCCGGAUUCACUGGGUUUAAAGGGUGCGUAGGCGGGUUGGCAAGUCAGUGGUGAAAUCUUCAAGCUUAACUUGGAAACUGCCGUUGAUACUAUCAAUCUUGAAUAUUGUGGAGGUAAGCGGAAUAUGUCAUGUAGCGGUGAAAUGCUUAGAUAUGACAUAGAACACCGAUAGCGAAGGCAGCUUGCUACACAGUAAUUGACGCUGAGGCACGAAAGCGUGGGGAUCAAACAGG
rnacentral:rRNA from 1 species